rnacentral:rRNA from 1 species
AUUGAACGCUGGCGGCGUGCUUAACACAUGCAAGUCGAUCGGUAACGCGGGGGCAACCCUGGCGACGAGAGGCGGACGGGUGAGGAACGCUUGGGAAUCUGCCUAUCAGCGGGGGACAACACGGGGAAACUCGUGCUAAUACCGCAUACGCUCUACGGAGGAAAGCCGGGGACCGCAAGGCCUGGCACUGAUAGAUGAGCCCAAGCCGGAUUAGCUAGUUGGCGGGGUAACGGCCCACCAAGGCGACGAUCCGUAGCUGGUCUGAGAGGACGAUCAGCCACACUGGAACUGAGACACGGUCCAGACUCCUACGGGAGGCAGCAGUGGGGAAUAUUGGACAAUGGGGGAAACCCUGAUCCAGCGACGCCGCGUGGGUGAAGAAGGCCUGCGGGUUGUAAAGCCCUUUCGGUAGGGACGAAAGCUCUCGACCUAACACGUCGGGAGGUUGACUUAACCUACAAAAGAAGCACCGGCUAACUCUGUGCCAGCCGCCGCCGUAACAC